GAAAAGGUGGCGUAGAUGGUUAACGCAUCUGCUUGGUAAGCAGGAGGUCUGGGUUCGACUCCCAGCCUUGGAACAAAUUUUCA